rnacentral:lncRNA from 1 species
GAGGGAUGAGCCUGAGGUGUCAGCAUCUUCACAGGUCUUUUGAGCCUGCAUGCACAAAAGGGUCUACUGUCCCUGGGUGCUUGAUAAUCUCUGGGAUCCUGCAUCUGCACUUACCAUGUCAGCUGGUCCACCCAGCUUCCUAUCACACUUCAGUUCCAUAAAUGGCUGCCUACAGAGGAAAGCUUCACAUGUGCCUAAAAACUCCCUUCAGAUCGUCAUCAGCCCGUAUUCAGCCACAAGGAGGUCUUUCAAUCUGAAACUCCAGAGAUAUUAAUAUCUAUCGCUGUACAAGCCAGCCCAGUUCUGGGAAGGAAGGAAGGGAAGGGAAUGUGUGAAGACAAGAGUGAGUGGUGGGUGGGGAGGACUGUUCUGUGCAUGUUCCUAUCACUUUAGUAGCUCAUCAAAGAGAGCAAACGUCAGCACCUCUUGAUUUGGUUUUGACUCCCCCAGAUUUCUACAAUUUCAGAUUCUUGUUUUAAGUGCCAGUAAAACCUUUUCCCUUGGGGCUAGGGAACUGUGCAAAGGAAAUAAUAAUACUGGCAGAGUGAUUUGUUAGGUGUUCAAUGGUGCUAAAUCCUUAUAAGCAAAAGCUCUCCCUACCUCCACCUAUUUGUGCCCUCCCUACGCCCACAUACCAGCCAAUCUGGAAAUGAGGAAAAACACUACAAAAGAGGAAAGGCAGACUCAGCCCCUCUCUAGGGACCUUUGUGCCAGCUACAAAGGAAAGACCACUACAGAGGUAAAAAAAAAAUCUUUCUCCUGUCUUUGCCACCCACUCCCCCAAUCAUGCUCUUAAGACUUAAAGCCACAAGUCAACAGAGCUUCUCCACAUUGUUCUUUUUCCCUUUUCAUUCAGAUUCCAAAAUAAUCAG